CACGGACUGAGAGAUUCGAGAAGGCUCGGGGCUUGGCGGAUAGAGGCUUUGGGGAGCUGGGGCAGGAGGUCCCAGCUGAGAGCACCGGCUUCCUAAUGAACAUGCGAUCCUCUGCCCAGGACUUGCUGAACAUGGAGGGCUAACAGGCUGCUAACCUGCUCUACUUGCCUGACCCCAAUUUCCCCUCAUUAUUAGAGAGCUGAAUUCUAAAUCAAAGAUUGUGGAGAAGAGAUGUGCAAACUGAAUAAAACAUUUCCAGAAGAGCCUGAAUAAUGGUUCUGAAUAAAGGGAAAUGAAAUGUUCUUGAAUUGUAAUUGGAAAAAUUCAAGUGGGUGUACCCAGGAGCACAUCUACUAAGAAGAGAAGUUACUGAACACAUCUGUUGGACUCAUACAAGGCUGCUGAGAAGUUGAAGAAGGAAGUAAAGGUAGAUUGAGGAGGACUGAAGAUUAGGGUCAAUCUCUGACCUCAAGGAUUUUAUGCUUCACAGAUAA